UCUCUGAAUCGCAUUAAAUUCGAAUGAACAGAAAUACAUAUUUGUUAUUGGAGACGAAAAUUUCUAUCGCUAAAUUGGAGACGGAUAGUUAACUGUCCUAAAUUAAAGAAAUUUCUUCAAAUUCCCUUCCCACUUACCUGCGUGUUCAAAUUUCUCUAAAAUCCCAAUUUCGUAUCAAUACUUUCUCUCUUGUUCUCUCUUCUCUACAAACCCUCAUCUCUCUGAACUCCCCAUCUUGUUGAUCUAGAAUCUCCUUUACCUUCGCAUUCACUGAUUCAAGAGGGGAAGGAGAAGAAAAAUCAACAAGGAGAAGAAUAAUUGAAAAGAAGAACUCAGAGACAGAUCACAGGAGAAGGGGUUUCAGAGAGAAGGAGAUCGCAGAAGAAAGGGGUUUCAGAGAGAAGAAAGAUAGCUGAGAGAGAGAGAAGGUUACAGAGAAGGAGAUGGCUGGUGAGAAGGGGUUUUAGAGAGAAGGUUCCAAGGAGAAAAAUCGCAGAUUAAAGAAGGGGUUUCAAAGGCGAUUUUGGCUGGGUAGAAGUGAGGAGUUCGGUAGGAGCAGAUCGGUUCUUUCGAUCUUGAGAGAGAACAGAAGAUCUCUAACUUGGAACAACCAGCCAUCUUUGAAGAUCGAAGGUUGAAGUUGCUACAAGAUAUUAUUGAAUGUUAACGACAAAGAUAUUUGGGGGGGGAAAAUAGUUUUAUCUAUCAAUUUGUUUGAUGACGAUGUAAGUUUUAAAUUUGUAUAGAUUUAUCUCAAGUUGUUAAUUUUGGAUGAUGUAAAUAUUAAAUGUCUACUUGGAUCUACUAAUGUAUAACAACAGGGUAAUAUAUGUGUACGAAAAACACAUUUUUUAUUUA